UACAGAGGGUGCAAGCGUUAAUCGGAAUUACUGGGCGUAAAGCGUGCGUAGUCGGUUAUCUAAGUCGGGUGUGAAAUCCCCGGGCUCAACCUGGGAAUUGCAUUCGAUACUGGAUAGCUAGAGUUCGGCAGAGGGAAGCGGAAUUUCGGGUGUAGCGGUGAAAUGCGUAGAUACCCGAAGGAACAUCAGUGGCGAAAGCGGCUUCCUGGACCAGAACUGACGAUCAGGCACGAAAGCGUGGGGAGCAAACAGG
rnacentral:rRNA from 1 species